rnacentral:rRNA from 1 species
AUGUCCGUCUGUUUCCCCAUGAGUAGUACAACUCUAUCUAUCUGCUCGUGGAAUGUAAGAGGCCUAGGCGACGAAUCUAAGUAUGGUAAUAUCCUUUCCGAACUAAUCAGUAUCAACCCCCACUGUGCACUCUUACAAGAGUCUAAGUUAAAUGACAUUAACGACCGAAAAUUCAACUCCUUCCUGCCACGAUCUCUUGACCAAAGAAAUUUCCUACCUGCGAACGGUUCGGCCGGCGGAAUGAUUUCCGCCUUUAAUACAAACUAUUUCUCCCUAAUCUCCUACUCCCACCAUACGUACACCACAUCCAUCAAACUCACGUCGCUCGCUCACCCCCUCCCCUUUGUCAUCACAAACAUUUAUGCCCCCUCGAAUCGCAAACUCAAACAGGCAUUCCUAGAUGAGCUCAAUCUAAUUAAGGAGGAUGACCAAACUCCCUGGCUAAUUGUAGGAGAUUUCAACCUCAUCCGCUUCUCCCACGAAAAAAAUAAAAGCAGCUUCCUCCAACGGGAAGCUGACGCCUUCAACUCCACGAUCAACGCACUAGCACUAAUCGAACUACCCCUGCUAGACACACGCUUUACCUGGUCCAACAAACGAGCUUCACCAACCCUCGAACGACUAGACCGAGCUUUCUUCAAUCUGGCUUGGAACAAUGUCUUCCCCAAUACAACUCUCUCAUCUUUGCCACGAAUUACAUCUGAUCACGUUCCCCUAAUUCUAAAUAUCCAAACAACUGUCCCAAAGACACGCCACUUUAGAUUCGAAUCAGCUUGGACUCUAUCCACUGCUUGCCAGCAAAUAAUACAAAAAUGUUGGGCCCCAAACCACCGCUCGACCCAGCAACUAACAUCCGCCGCUGCCCUUGCAAAAGCUCUAAAAAGAACAAGAUAUGACCUAAAAAAUUGGGCCUCCAAGCGAUCGCCAGCACACCUUCGCGAGGCGGCUGCAAAACAAAUCAUUAAUCUCAUCGAUCUAAAGGAGGAGGCUCGAACUCUCUCCAAUGCCGAAAAAAGACUACGUUUUGUUGUCUUCGAUACCCUGCACUCAGCUAUUGCUGAAAAAAUAGCCUUCUGGAAACAAAGAGGUAAAGUACGUGCUGCAAUUGAUGGGGAGGAAAACACACAAUAUUUUCAUGCUGCCGCGUCACAGCGUCUCCGCAAGAAUACUAUAACUUCCCUACUAACUGAUGGAACUGAAUUCCACUCUCAUGCUCAAAAAGCGACCAUUCUCAAAGAUCAUUUCACAGCACUUAUAGGUUCAGCACCACACACCUAUUGGCCCUUCGAUCCUAAAAAGUACUACCCACAAACGUUACCACAGCUUAACUCGCUGGACUCCCCCUUCACACUAGAUGAAAUUAAAAAUGCGUUCCUCCAAAUGAACCCCCUAGCUAGCCCAGGACCGGAUGGCUUCGGCCCGCUGUUCUACAAAAAAUACUGGAACCUGGUUAAGGCUCACAUCCACUCCUUCAUGACGGACUUCCAAAACCUUAACGCCCAAACUGAAAGCCUUAACAGAGCUCACCUCAUUCUACUACCCAAAAAAGAUCAUGCCAACACUCCCGACGCAUACCGCCCGAUCUCCCUCCAAAAUUGUCCCAUCAAAGCCGUUGCGAAAGUGCUUACCAACAGACUAAAACCAAUAAUACCACUGCUUGUCCAUGGCAACCAAACUGGGUUCAUCCCAGGGCGUAGCAUAGCCGAAAACUUUAUCUUCGCUGCAGACCUCAUAGGCGCAUGCCAUACUAGAAAAGCCCCAACCAUGGUCAUUAAAUUGGACUUUAGCAAAGCCUUCGACUCCCUCUCUUGGGACUCUCUUACUUCCAUCUUACGCUGCCGCGGCUUCCCGCCAAAAUUCUCAUCAUGGGUUCAUGACCUCCUAGCAACCGGGAAAACUGCCGUCAUGUUGAAUGGGAUCCCCAGAAACUGGAUAAAUUGCAAAAAUGGGCUCAGGCAGGGUGACCCUAUCUUGCCCUACCUCUUCAUCAUCGUUGCCGAUCUCCUACAACAAAUGAUCCAGCAAGACUGCGAUCUAGCUCACCUCAGUCACCCCCUGUUCUCACAUCUCCCGCCAACCGUCUUACAAUAUGCCGAUGACACCCUCAUCAUCGCCAAGGCAUCCAAUCCCGCUGCUCAACAGUUAAAAUACAUCCUUCACGAUUUCGCCAUGGCCACUGGCCUCACUAUCAACUUCACAAAAACAACGUUCGUACCCAUGCACAUCAGCACUGCCAUGGGAGACUCCAUUGCCUCCACCUUGCACUGCCCAACCUCAAGCUUUCCGCAGAUCUACCUAGGCCUUCCCCUAACACCCACACGACUACCUACAAAUGCCUUCCUACCGAUCAUCGAACGUUGCCGUAAAUUCUUGACGGGCUGGCGCGCAAAAAUCCUCUCCAAAGGGGAUAGGCUCAUCCUAUUAUCGGCUGUCCUCGACUCCCUUCUAGUCUACUUCAUGUCAGUCUUCCCCAUUCCCAAGAGUGUUCUAAAAACCCUAGACUCUAUUCGACGAGCCUUCUUUUGGGCUGCGGAGGAAACUUGCACUGGUGCUCAAUGCUUAGUUGCCUGGAAAAAUGUGUGUAAACCAAAGAACUGUGGUGGUCUAGGCCUAAAAAAUCUUCAUCAGCAAAACAAAUGCCUACUUAUGAAAUUUGCUGUAAAAGCUCUCUUACCAGACACAACACCUUGGUUAGACUGGAUCGCCUUACAACACCCAAAUGCCCUCAUUGCUCCACAAAAUAGUCACUCCUUUAUUUGUCGAACAAUAAAUCAACAGCUGCCAGCACUUCAUGCCAUCUCUUUUGUACUCACAAACUCUGGCACUAAUACGUACUUCUGGCUUGAUACGUGGAUACACAACCAACCCCUUGCUACUCUAUUCCCCUGCCUAUAUUCACACACCACUAUACCACUAGCUCGUGUGGCUGCUGUCCUGAAUCACGGUUUGGAAACAAUCCUCCGGAACCGCCUAACAUCUGAUGCUGCUACCGAGUUGUGCGUUUUGUUGUCUCUCUUGCAGGAUUUCCGGUUGUCGACAGGACCGGACGAGCGCUACCUCAACGGUGGCUUAUGCUUCUCCACGAGGGCAGCAUAUGCGCUAACCAUGGGCUCCCACGAUGACGACCACGACGUGCAUGCCGUUGCCAUCUGGUCUUCACGCGUUCCAAAUCGCGUUAAGAUCUUUGCAUGGCCCCUGUUUCGGGAUUGA